CUUACGGGAGGCAGCAGUGGGGAAUAUUGCACAAUGGGGGAAACCCUGAUGCAGCCAUGCCGCGUGUAUGAAGAAGGCCUUCGGGUUGUAACGUACUUUCAGCGGGGAGGAAGGCAGUGAAUAAUUUCGCUGAUUGACGUUACCCGCAGAAGAAGCACCGGCUAACUCCGUGCCAGCAGCCGCGGUAAU
rnacentral:rRNA from 1 species